rnacentral:rRNA from 1 species
AGUGAACGCUGGCGGUAGGCCUAACACAUGCGAGUCGAACGGCAGCACAGUAUGAGCUUGCUCUUACGGGUGGCGAGUGGCGGACGAGUGAGGAAUACAUCGGAAUCUACUUUUUCGUGGGGGAUAACGUAGGGAAACUUACGCUAAUACCGCAUACGACCUACGGGUGAAAGCAGGGGAUCUUCGGACCUUGCGCGAUUGAAUGAGCCGAUGUCGGAUUAGCUAGUUGGCGGGGUAAAGGCCCACCAAGGCGACGAUCCGUAGCUGGUCUGAGAGGAUGAUCAGCCACACUGGAACUGAGACACGGUCCAGACUCCUACGGGAGGCAGCAGUGGGGAAUAUUGGACAAUGGGCGCAAGCCUGAUCCAGCCAUACCGCGUGGGUGAAGAAGGCCUUCGGGUUGUAAAGCCCUUUUGUUGGGAAAGAAAAGCAGCAGGUUAAUACCCCGCUGUUCUGACGGUACCCAAAGAAUAAGCACCGGCUAACUUCGUG